UGAAGUUCAGUGCUGAGUCUACAGAGUUCCUCCUCACAGCUGGCUUAUUUGGCCUCCGUUUACUCUGAUAUGACCAAAAAAGGCCCUUCACUGCUCACUGCUGCUGGGAAUUCUGCCUUUAUCUCUCAUCCGCAUGGAGUUGGACCGCUGCAAAAUGCUGCUAGAGGUGAACACGGGAGCUUUGCAAAGAACUGUGACAAAUGCAGGAGGUGGGACGAGUCAGUCAGAAGCAAGCUCAGUGUAUGAUUGCCCAGACAGAAGCUGUGAUGUCCAAGAAUGAGCAAGCUGAGCAUGGAGAGAAUGAUGUGAAUGAGGCCUUGGUGAGCAGAGUCACUGAGGAUUCCCAGCCCUUCUCUAUUGGAGGACAAAGGGUUCAGAAAGCUUGUUCAAGCUCUAAAACCUAGCUGUAUUCUCCCCACAAGACAGGUGCGUGUGUAAGCACAUGAAGCAUUUUUCACCAUUUCCCAAAA